rnacentral:rRNA from 1 species
GACGAACGCUGGCGGCGUGCCUAAUACAUGCAAGUAGAACGCUGAAGGAGGAGCUUGCUCUUCUGGAUGAGUUGCGAACGGGUGAGUAACGCGUAGGUAACCUGCCUGGUAGCGGGGGAUAACUAUUGGAAACGAUAGCUAAUACCGCAUAACAGUAGAUGUUGCAUGACAUUUACUUAAAAGGUGCAAUUGCAUCACUACCAGAUGGACCUGCGUUGUAUUAGCUAGUUGGUGGGGUAACAGCUCACCAAGGCGACGAUACAUAGCCGACCUGAGAGGGUGAUCGGCCACACUGGGACUGAGACACGGCCCAGACUCCUACGGGAGGCAGCAGUAGGGAAUCUUCGGCAAUGGACGGAAGUCUGACCGAGCAACGCCGCGUGAGUGAAGAAGGUUUUCGGAUCGUAAAGCUCUGUUGUAAGAGAAGAACGAGUGUGAGAGUGGAAAGUUCACACUGUGACGGUAUCUUACCAGAAAGGGACGGCUAACUACGUG